AGUGAACGCUGGCGGUAGGCCUAACACAUGCAAGUCGAACGGCAGCACAGUAAGAGCUUGCUCUUACGGGUGGCGAGUGGCGGACGGGUGAGGAAUACAUCGGAAUCUACUUUUUCGUGGGGGAUAACGUAGGGAAACUUACGCUAAUACCGCAUACGACCUACGGGUGAAAGCAGGGGUUCUUCGGACCUUGCGCGAUUGAAUGAGCCGAUGUCGGAUUAGCUAGUUGGCGGGGUAAAGGCCCACCAAGGCGACGAUCCGUAGCUGGUCUGAGAGGAUGAUCAGCCACACUGGAACUGAGACACGGUCCAGACUCCUACGGGAGGCAGUAGUGGGGAAUAUUGGACAAUGGGCGCAAGCCUGAUCCAGCCAUACCGCGUGGGUGAAGAAGGCCUUCGGGUUGUAAAGCCCUUUUGUUGGGAAAGAAAAGCAGCAGGUUAAUACCCCGCUGUUCUGACGGUACCCAAAGAAUAAGCACCGGCUAACUUCGUG
rnacentral:rRNA from 1 species